rnacentral:rRNA from 1 species
UACAGAGGUCGCAAGCGUUGUUCGGAAUCAUUGGGCGUAAAGGGCGCGUAGGCGGCGCGGUAAGUCGGGUGUGAAAUCUCGGAGCUUAACUCCGGAACUGCAUUCGAUACUGCCGUGCUUGAGGACUGGAGAGGAGACUGGAAUUUACGGUGUAGCGGUGAAAUGCGUAGAUAUCGUAAGGAAGACCAGUGGCGAAGGCGGGUCUCUGGACAGGUCCUGACGCUGAGGCACGAAAGUCAGGGGAGCAAACAGG